rnacentral:rRNA from 1 species
AUUGAACGCUAGCGGGAUGCCUAACACAUGCAAGUCGAACGAGUGGCGGACGGGUGAGUAAUAUAUCGGAACGUGCCCAGUUGAGGGGGAUAACUACUCGAAAGUGUGGCUAAUACCGCAUAACAUGGGAGCGGCCGUUAUUGGAUUAGCUAGUUGGUGGGGUAAAGGCUCACCAAGGCGACGAUCCGUAGCUGGUCUGAGAGGAAGACCAGCCACACUGGGACUGAGACACGGCCCAGACUCCUACGGGAGGCAGCAGUGGGGAAUUUUGGACAAGGGGGGAAACCCUGAUCCAGCCAUCCCGCGUGUAUGAGAAGGCCUUCGGGUUGUAAAGUACUUUUGUCAGAGAAGCGGUAUCUGCAGAAUAAGCACCGGCUAACUACGUGCCAGCAGCCGCGGUAAUAC